AUACUUACCUGGCAGGGGAGAUACCAUGAUCAUGAAGGUGGUUUUCCCAGGGCGAGGCUUAUCCAUUGCACUCGAGAUGUGCUGACCCCUGCGAUUUCCCCAAAUGUGGGAAACUCGACUGCAUAAUUUGUGGUGGUGAGGGAAUGCGUUCACGCUUUCCCCUG
rnacentral:snRNA from 1 species